rnacentral:rRNA from 1 species
AUUGAACGCUGGCGGCAGGCCUAACACAUGCAAGUCGAACGAGUGGAGGACGGGUGAGUAAUGUCUGGGAAACUGCCUGAUGGAGCGGGAUAACUACGGGAAACGGUAGCUACUACCGCAUACCAUCGGAUGUGCCCAGAUGGGAUUAGCUAGCAGGUGGGGUAAAGGCUCACCUAGGCGACGAUGCCUAGCUGGGCUGAGAGGAUGACCGGCCACACUGGAACUGAGACACGGCCCAGACUCCUACGGGAGGCAGCAGUAGGGAAUAUUGGACAAUGGGCGCAAGCCUGAUGGAGCCAUGCCGCGUGUAUGAAGAAGGCCUUCGGGUUGUAAAAUUCGUUUAGUGGAGAAGCGUUACCCACCUAGGAAGCACCGGCUAACUCCGUGCCAGCCGCCGCGGUAAUUC